ACUGACUCAUCCCGCCCCUGUGGACAGGAUUGGAUUGUUCUCCAGGAAAUGCAAGGUUUUCUAUACUCAGGGGGAGUGACUUCUACAAUGAGAGAAUAUAUUUUACCAUAUAUGAAACCCAGGUCCACAAACCCAGGACAACCCAAGAAGAGACCUUGACAAGACGAUUCCGAGAGGCAGAAAUACAAGAUGCGAAGGAACCUAGGCAGCUCCGGAGGAGAAAGGCCAACUGGAAAAGCAAACGGGCCUUGCCGGCAGGCAGGGAAUUUUCCGAAGGGGGCGCGCUGAAGGCUGCAGCCGGCCCGGGAGCGGCCCAGCCCGCGCAGACGCAGAAAGAAGCCGCCCUCUCCACGGACAAGGCUCCGCGCAGUUUUUUCAAGCACGAAGGGCGGGGCAGGAGGGCGGCUGGUCGGCUGCACGGCGCAACACUGCCACCUGCAGACCAGAGAAACCCCACGCCACCCACCCCAGCGAAAACUCCAUCUUUUCCGCGGCCGUUCCGCGCAACGACCUGGAGCUCGUGGCUCAGGAAGGCCGGCGGGAGGGAGAUGAGGACCACGGAAAGGAAGAGAAGCGGCCAGAGCGGCCCCGGCAACCGGGCUGGGGCACCGCCGCCUUCCCGGC
rnacentral:lncRNA from 1 species